GAUGAACGCUAGCGGCAGGCUUAAUACAUGCAAGUCGAGGGGCAUCAAGGUACACGAAAGUGUAUUGUUGGCGACCGGCGGACGGGUGAGUAAUAGGUAGGUAACCUACCUCAUACUGAGGCAUAGCUGGGAGAAAUUCCAGGUAAUUCCUCAUGAGGUUAUAUGACACAUGUGAUAUAAUCAAAGGUAUCGCAAGGUACUGGUAUGAGAUGGGCUUACUGACCAUUAGCUAGUUGGUGAGAUAAGAGCUCACCAAGGCGAAGAUGGUUAGGGGUUUUGAGAGAGAGAUCCCCCACAUUGGAACUGAGAUACGGUCCAGACUCCUACGGGAGGCAGCAGUAGGGAAUAUUGGGCAAUGGGCGAAGCCUGACCCAGCCAUGCCGCGUGAAGGAAGACGGCCUUAUGGGUUGUAAAACUUCUUUUACUAUGACGUACUAACGUUAGAUUUACGAGUACUAAAUUCGUAAGUAGAAUUAGUAAAGCAACGUACGACAAAACG
rnacentral:rRNA from 1 species